rnacentral:tRNA from 1 species
GGGGCCAUGGUGUAGUUUGGUCUAGCAUCUGAGCUUUGGGAGCUUAAGACCCGAGUUCAAAUCUCGGUGGCCCCA